rnacentral:lncRNA from 1 species
GUACCACUCAGACAGAGGAAUGAGACUCUUCUAUGCUCGCCCCAGACAGUUCUUAUCUGGUGUUCCUCUUUCAAAGUUGUCAUGCUGUAAAGUUGUGUUUUCACUGAUUUGCUGGAGUGCAGCAGCAUGAUUACAGCUCACAUCAGCCUCGACCUCCCGGGCUCAAGCUAUCCUCCUACCUCAGCCUCCCAAGUAGCUGGGACUAUAGGAUCUUUCUGCUGAUGCAGCUGUUAAGAGUGUUUCAUAAACUGUGACAACACUAAGCAAAAUCAUAGAAGGAAACUCUAUGGACAAUUUCAGAUGGAGAAGAAGAAAGGACUGGAAGUUCAAUUUGGCCAUGACAAUUAGACUUGAAGAAGCUGAGUGAGAAGGCCAUGCAGAUAUCUUGGAGAAGUGCAUUCCAGGCAGAGGAAAAGCCAGUGCAGAGACACUGAAGCAGGGCAUGACUGAUGUGUAUAAGGAGCAUCAUAUACAUGAUCAUCUACAGUCCACUGAGGAGAAUAGCAGACGAGAGGCCAGGUGCAGUGCAUGUAAUCCCAGCACUUUGGGAGACUGAGAUGGGAAGAUCGCUUGAGGCCAGGAGUGCAAGACCAGCCUGGGCAACACAGCAAGACCUUGAUUCUACUAAAAAAAAAAAAGGAUCCUUCAACUUCAACAAUAAUAACACAAGGGAAGUGAAGAAAAACACUUUCUAAGGAAAUCUCUCUCUGAGCUACCAUCCUGCUAGGGAGAGCCUGAAAGCAGAAUGCUGACUUGACUAGCUCUGGUCAAUGAAAGAAAUCACCAGUGGAAAGGCUACCAGGGGGCUUUCUCAAAAGAGAGGGACAGUAAACUGCAAGAUGAACAACUCAAUGCCAUCCAGGUCUGGAUGAGAAAGAACAGUCGAGAGACUGAGUUUCAGGAGUGGAAACACUCAAAGCAUCAUCUUCCACUUUCUUCUCCGGCUGCUAGGAAGAAGGGAAAAACACAGACCUUCUGAGGACCUGCGGAGCAAACCACUGGCUUCAGAAAAGCAAACAGGGACUUCCCUCUGCGCAGCAGGAAGCAGUUAGCCUAGUCGGAGGCUUGACUGAAGAAACAAAUGAGGGAAGGCAGAAGUUGAGACGCAGCCAGUAGAGGAAACUCCGGGAGAGGCAGGCAGCGUCACUUGAAGAAAAGCUCUAUUGUGAUGGGAACAAUCACAGGAACUAAGCGGCAACAAAAUGGCUCCCCACCCCCUCUGCAAAUCCCAACUCCAUGCAAGCACUCUCCCUUCCCUCAUUUUCUUUUCUUUUUUUUUGAGAUGGAGUCUCGCUCUGUUGCCCAGGCUGGAGUGCAGUAGCGCGAUCUCGGCUCACUGCAACCUCCACCUUCUGGUUUCAAGCAAUUCUCCUGCCUCAGCCUCCCCAGUAGCUGGGACUACAGGCGUGUGCCACCACGCCUGGCUAAUUUUUUUUUUUAAUUUUUAGUAGAGACAGAGUUUCACCAUGUUGGCCAGGCUGGUCUCGAACUCCUGGCCUCAAGUGAUCCACCUGCCUCAGCCUCCCAAAGUGGUGGGAUUACAGGUGUAAGCGACCACGCCCGGCCUUUUAAAAUCGACUUGAGUCUCAUCUCCUGAAAUGCAAAAUGCAUUGGGCCUGUCUCUUACUUCUGCAUGUCUCAUAAUGCUUAGCACAGCACAAGCCCCGAGAGCGCAUCAUACACCCUGGGGUGGGGAGCUCCUGGCAGGGCUGGAUCCACUCACCAUUCCUGCCAUCCAUUGGCACUUGGCUCAGCACAGUUAGGCCAACAAGGACAUAAUAGACAAGUCCAAAACAGUACUGCACGACGUGAAUCAUGACAUUGGAGAAGACACUGACGUAGAGGCACUCGAAGAGUCUUCGUAAGCUGUGCAGCCACAGAAAUACUAGCACUAAGAAUGCAGACAGUGCCAGCUCCCCUCCUACAAUUCAGAAGGCAACAGGGUCAGCAUUUCUCUUCUGGGAUUAAUCCAAAGUUUUGUUUUUCUGUACUGUUAAGCAAAGUAUUAAAUCCCAUCUAACAUC